rnacentral:rRNA from 1 species
UACGAAGGGGGCUAGCGUUGCUCGGAAUCACUGGGCGUAAAGGGCGCGUAGGCGGAUCUUUAAGUCGGGGGUGAAAGCCCAGGGCUCAACCCUGGAAUUGCCUUCGAUACUGAAGAUCUCGAGACCGGAAGAGGUAAGUGGAACUGCGAGUGUAGAGGUGAAAUUCGUAGAUAUUCGCAAGAACACCAGUGGCGAAGGCGGCUUACUGGUCCGGUUCUGACGCUGAGGCGCGAAAGCGUGGGGAGCAAACGGGG